AAUUGUCUUGUUGAUAGGUAGAAGCAUGGUGGUGAUCCUCUGUGUAAAACAAAGUUGCUUCUUACAGACCAGAAUUUUUACUCAUCUUAGAAUCACAAGAUUUUUAUGUUUUCAUGAAUACAUACUUUGUUUUUAUGAUAUUAGUUUGCAUAUUAAGUUUUUGUAGCAUUUCAUGAGAAAAAGUUUAAGCUAAAGAGUUUAAUUUUCUUGAUUUAGGGUUCACUUUAAUAAUGCAAGAGGCUUCUAAGUUUAAGGACCAAGCCCUUGUAUUCUAGAAUUAUUGAAAAAAUGUAGAAAUACUCUAGGUAUAUGUUUCGGUCUAAGAUGUAUUAGCACAGAAGGCUUCUAGAAGGAUUUAAGAAAAGAUGUCCUUACUGUGAAGUGGCAGUUACAGGCCACCCACUCACCUUGACUAGCUCAAACUGAUGACCAUCAGGUAAUGACUUAUUAGAUACACUUACUGAGGUUGGGUCAAACUGGAAUGGAUUUGACAGCUGGAAUGGACUGGUAAUUUCUAGUGCAGUUAGUUGGUAGCUCUUGACCUACCACCUUACUGUAUACAGUCUCUCCUGAUAUCUUGUCUCUCCUGUCCUUUUUCCUUCUUUCUCUUUUUAUUCUUCUUGCUGUAGGCCUGCCAGUGGCACUCAAGAUUACCCCCUUCACAAAGAAGUAAAGAAAUUGCUGGCUCCUACCUUAGAACAUAACUAAGUGAUGAUCAGAGCGAUUUUUGUAUUAUGAGGUGGUGUUUCCUUGAGCCCACAGCCAAAGCUGGUCCUCUCCUGUUGAGUGCCCCCACAAAGCCAUCAUCAUGGCAAGGUUUGGUGACAGUGUUUGCCCUCUACCCUCUACUUCUUCUAGGGCUGCCACUCCUGAUGAGCACCUAACAGCCUGCCCUGUCUGCCUGCCGGGUGGCAUGGAGUCCCUUGCCUAAAGCUGCUUUUGUGGUUGCUGACUCUGAACACCAGCCCCUGACUUCUGGAACCUCCCUCCUCCCCAUGGAAGUGACAGCAUAGCCAGUGCUUGAGUGUCAGGACUUUUCAGUCUACCUGCCAGGCCUGACCCAUCAGGACCUGCCCCAGGGUCAGAGUCAGGUUGAGGAGGUUACCAUUGAAACAGCCUAGCCCCAGGAACAGACAGGCCUUUCUGGAAGCCAAAGUCAAGUAAGGAGACAUGCCACUGAGACAAGACCCAAUGGUCUGUUUGUCUCCAACUGCCAGAAGGAUGGCUCUUCUAAGUAGAAGACUGGACCAAGAUACCACUGCCUAAGACCUUUCUUGGACAAGUUUGGGCAAGAAGGCACAAUGAGGCCUCCAAGUUUCCUUCUGGGUUUGUCGCAUCUGUAAAAAA
rnacentral:lncRNA from 1 species